CCUACGGGUGGCAGCAGUGGGGAAUAUUGGGCAAUGGAGGAAACCCUGACCCAGCAAUGCCGCGUGAAUGAAGAAGGUCUUCGGAUUGUAAAGUUCUUUAGUCAGGGAAGAAUAAAAUGACGGUACCUGAAGAAUAACCUCCGGCUAACCACAUGCCAGCAGCCGCGGUAAUAGGUAGAAAGCAAGCGUUGUUCGAGAUGAUUGGGCGAAAAAGGUGAGUGCGCGGUGAUAAAAGUUCGUAGUGAAAUACCCAGGCCUUAACUCGGGUGCUGCUUCUGAAACUGUAAGACGUGAGUGGAGGAGAGGCGAGUGGAAUUCCUAGUGUAGCGGUGGAAUGCGUAGAGAUUAGGAGGAACACCAGGGGCGAAGGCGGCCAACUGGACUACAACUGACGGUGAGGCGCGAAAGUGUGGGGAGCAAACAGGAUUAGAUACCCCAGUAGUC
rnacentral:rRNA from 1 species